CCUACGGGAGGCAGCAGUGGGGAAUUUUACACAAUGGGCGAAAGCCUGAUGUAGCAACGCCGCGUGGAGGAUGACGGAUUUAGGUCUGUAAACUCCUUUUAUAAGGGAAGAAAUUUGACGGUACCUUAUGAAUAAGCACCGGCUAACUCCGUGCCAGCAGCCGCGGUAAUACGGGGGGUGCAAGCGUUACUCGGAAUCACUGGGCGUAAAGGGAGCGUAGGCGUUCUAUUAAGUCUUGAGUGAAAGCCCGCAGCCUAACUGCGGAACUGCUCAGG
rnacentral:rRNA from 1 species